CGCGGAUUAAUGUAAUAGUAACAUCUUUGACUCAUGAUCAAAAAAUAGAGGUGCGAAUCCUCUAUCCGCAU